UCUCCGUUGGUGAACCAGCGGAGGGAUCAUUACAGAGUUGCAAAACUCCCAAACCAUUGUGAACGUUACCUAUCCCGUUGCUUCGGCGGGCGGCCCGGGCCCCGCGCCCGGCGCCCCCCGGCCCCCCGUGGGCGCCCGCCGGAGGUAAACCAAAACCUUGAAUUGCAUGGCCUCUCUGAGUCUUCUGUACUGAAUAAGUCAAAACUUUCAACAACGGAUCUCUUGGUUCUG
rnacentral:misc_RNA from 1 species